rnacentral:rRNA from 1 species
GAUGAACGCUGGCGGCGUGCUUAACACAUGCAAGUCGAACGGAAAGGCCACAGCUUGCUGUGGUACUCGAGUGGCGAACGGGUGAGUAACACGUGGGUGAUCUGCCCUGUACUUCGGGAUAAGCUUGGGAAACUGGGUCUAAUACCGGAUAGGAAUCACAUGUGGGUGUGUGGUUGGAAAGCUUUUGCGGUAUGGGAUGAGCUCGCGGCCUAUCAGCUUGUUGGUGGGGUAAUGGCCUACCAAGGCGUCGACGGGUAGCCGGCCUGAGAGGGUGUACGGCCACAUUGGGACUGAGAUACGGCCCAGACUCCUACGGGAGGCAGCAGUGGGGAAUAUUGCACAAUGGGCGCAAGCCUGAUGCAGCGACGCCGCGUGGGGGAUGACGUCCUUCGGGUUGUAAACUCCUUUCGUCAGGGACGAAGCGAAAGUGACGGUACCUGGAGAAGAAGCACCGGCUAACUACGUG